CACGAAGGUGUCUAAUACUUCAUAAUAUCCAUCUCGUAUGGAUUAAAGCUUUAUGCGCUUUGGGAGGGGCCUGCGUAACAUUAGCUUGUUGGUGAGGUAAAGCUCACCAAGGCUUCGAUGUUUAACUGGUUUGAGAGGAUGACCAGUCACACUGGGACUGAGAUACGGCCCAGACUCCUACGGGAGGCAGCAGUAAGGAAUCUUCCACAAUGGGGCAACCCUGAUGGAGCAAUACCGCGUGCAGGAUGAAGCGUUUCGGCGUGUAAACUGCUUUUAUCACCGAAGAUUAUGACUGUAGGUGAAGAAUAAGGACCGGCUAACUACGUG
rnacentral:rRNA from 1 species